rnacentral:rRNA from 1 species
UACGUAAGGGGCUAGCGUUGUCCGGAAUCAUUGGGCGUAAAGCGCGUGUAGGCGGUCCGGUAAGUCCGCUGUGAAAGUCGGGGGGCUCAACCCUCGGAUGCCGAUCGAUACUGUCGGGCUAGAGUCCGGAAGAGGCGAGUGGAAUUCCUGGUGUAGCGGUGAAAUGCGCAGAUAUCAGGAGGAACACCAAUGGCGAAGGCAGCUCGCUGGGACGGUACUGACGCUGAGGCGCGAAAGCGUGGGGAGCAAACAGG